UGCUCAUCGGGGCUGGACUCCUUGGUUCCUGGGGACGAAGACAAACCCUAUAAGUGUCAGCUGUGCCGGUCUUCGUUCCGCUACAAGGGCAACCUUGCCAGUCAUCGUACAGUGCACACAGGGGAAAAGCCUUACCACUGCUCAAUCUGCGGAGCCCGUUUUAACCGGCCAGCAAACCUGAAAACGCACAGCCGCAUCCAUUCGGGAGAGAAGCCGUAUAAGUGUGAGACGUGCGGCUCGCGCUUUGUACAGGUGGCACAUCUGCGGGCGCACGUGCUGAUCCACACCGGGGAGAAGCCCUACCCUUGCCCUACCUGCGGAACCCGCUUCCGCCACCUGCAGACCCUCAAGAGCCACGUUCGCAUCCACACCGGAGAGAAGCCUUACCACAAUUAAAGAAGGAAGAAGGGAAGGCGGAGGAGUCUAUAAGAAGGAAUCAUGAUUUCUAUUUAGCAGAUUGGAUGGGCAGGUGGAGAAUGCCUGGGGGUAGAAAUGUUAGAUCUUGCAACAUCAGAUCCUUGGAAUAAAGAAGCCUCUCUGUGCUGCCUGCUGUGUCCUGGGUUCUUGCCUUGGGGGACUCGGGGAGCGAGGAAGAGAGCUCUUCCUCCUGGAUAACAUCUUGGAUUCUGUACCAUUCCACUGUCCCUUCCCACCAGACAUUUUAAAUGGUCCUCGUUGUCCCCUUCCCUGCCCUUGCCUUCCUGCUCAUUGUGUAGGAACCAGUGACUUCAUGAAGUUUCUCCGGAGCCACCUGCAUCCUGCUGCUCUGAAGUCACUUCCUGCCUGAGGUGUGGAGGCUGCAGGGAGAAACCAGGAAGCCACUAAUAAUAUCAAGAGGCCGGGGCGUGCAUCUGUGCUGGAGAUCUUAAUGCUGGCGACAUGCCUCCAUCACCAAGGAAGAUGGAUAAGAGUUGGGUCCCGUAAAGACCACAGGGGCUG
rnacentral:lncRNA from 1 species